AUGAACCAGACCCAUCCCUGGCCAUGGAGGAACACCCAACCUAACUGGAGAGACAAAGGUGGAGAAGGAGAGAGGACUGGGCUUGUGUCGGCUUUGGGGUUCCACCAUCUUGGAACCUGUGCUUCUGGUUUGCCUGGGAAUGCAAGGUGUUUGGAGACUGCCCAGCAAAUAUCAACUGGGGGCUUGGCUGUGUUGCCUUGGGCUUGUUGUUGCUCAGGGACUCAGGCCAACAGAGCAACCAUCACCUGGAAUGUCAUCUAUUGCCAUUACAGGGGAUUUCUGCUUUGGCAUCUUCCUCAUAUUCUCUUGCCACCACCAUGUGAGAAGUACCUUUCACCUCCUGCCAUGAUUCUGAGGCCUCCCCAGCCAUUGGAACUGAUGAUCUGUGACUUGCUUUGGCCAAUAGAUUGCAGAGAAAGUUAUGCUGUGCCAGUUCUGAUUCUAGGCCGCCAGAGGCCUUGCAGGCUACUGCACCCCAUGAGGAUGUGGCCAGGCAAGCCUGCUGCAGAAAAGAGACCACAGAGAGUACAGAAGAGCCACAUCAGCUGA
rnacentral:lncRNA from 1 species